UUCCGGUAGAGUUGGCACAUCCGGCAAUGGCGGUAAGGUGAUCUUGGGAAUGCUGGGCUCCGGUAGUGUUGGAACUUUGGGUAGCGUUGGCACUUCCGGUAAUGUCCCUUUGUCGUCAGCGCCCAACAAACCACGAGUGGCAUGGCACACAGAGACAUUACCGAGCAACAAGAAUGCAAUUCCCAUAGCUAGCAGGAAAAUGUGGG
rnacentral:misc_RNA from 1 species